UGCACUCUUAGCUCAGUUGGUAGAGCAACUGACUCUUAAUCAGUGGGUCCAGGGUUCGAAUCCCUGAGGGUGUACGAA
rnacentral:tRNA from 1 species